CAACCAGGAUGUUGGCUCAGAAGCAGCCACUCAUUCAAAGAGUGCGUAAUAGCUCACUGGUCGAGCGUCUUUGCGCGGAGAAUUUAACGGGGCUAAACCUGACACCGAAGCUUAGGCAAUCCAGCAAUGGAUUGGGUAGGGGAGCGUUGUAUACGCGGAGAAACAGUAGCGUAAGCGGCUGUGGAGUGUAUAGAAGUGAGAAUGCCGGAAUGAGUAGCGCGAAUGCAGUGAGAAUCUGCAUGGCCGAAAGCCUCAGGUUUUUGGAGGAAGGUUCGUCCGCUCCAAGUUAGUCGGGAGCUAAGGUGAGGCCGGAAGGCGUAGCCGAUGCACAGACGGUAGAGAUUCCGUCACCACCAAAAGAGUUAAGCACAGGGACACAUUUGAAGUCUCAGAGCCGGGUGUUGGUUCCGGUAGAGAUCGAGGGAAAUUAGUACCGAAGUCUGGGAUGGAGGAUGGCGAGAAAAGCUGUGUGUAUUUCUGAGGUGCCCGUACCGCAAACCGACACAGGUAGGUAGGAAGAAGAUUCUAAGGCCAACGGGAGAAGGGUUGUUAAGGAACUCGGCAAAUUGACCCCGUAACUUCGGGAGAAGGGGUGCUCCAGAGAUGGAGCCGCAGAGAAUCGGCCCAAGCAACUGUUUACCAAAAACACAGGUUUGUGCUAAAUCGAAAGAUGACGUAUACGAGCUGACGCCUGCCCGGUGCUGGAAGGUUAAGAGGAGAUGUGCAAGCAUUGAAUCGAAGCCCCAGUGAACGGCGGCCGUAACUAUAACGGUCCUAAGGUAGCGAAAUUCCUUGUCAGGUAAGUUCUGACCCGCAUGAAAGGCGUAAUGAUUUGGGCACUGUCUCAACAGCCCGCCCGGCGAAAUUGUAGUACCGGUGAAGAUGCCGGUUACCCGCGACAAGACGGAAAGACCCCAUGGAGCUUUACUGUAGCCUAAUAUUGGGUUUCGAUGUUGCAUGCACAGGAUAGAUGGGACACUGGGAAACAAUCGCUUUGGCGGUUGCGGAGUGGCCGUUGGGAUACCAUCCUUGCGAUAUUGGAAUUCUAACCUGCGGCUCUGAAUCGAGUCGGGGGACAUUGUUAGGUGGGCAGUUUGACUGGGGCGGUCGCCUCCUAAAAAGUAACGGAGGCGUUCAAAGGUUCGCUCAGCUUGAACGGAAAUCAAGCAAAAGAGUGCAAACGCAGAAGCGAGCCUAACUGCGAGACUGACGGGUCGAGCAGUAACGAAAGUUGGAGUUAGUGAUCCGGUGGUAUGUGAGUGGAAAUGCCAUCGCUCAACGGAUAAAAGUUACCCUGGGGAUAACAGGCUGAUCUCCCCCAAGAGUCCACAUCGACGGGGAGGUU
rnacentral:rRNA from 1 species